CCUUGGAGAGAAUGUUUGCAAACCAGCUACUCAAAUGUGCAAAAGAUCAAUUAUCAUUUAGGGCCGUGACUCAGAUCUCCAAUGCUGCAAAUUGUUCUCAUGUCAUAAAUACAAAUUCUUGGUCUGACAGUGGUCAUGUUUGGCCACACUGGGCAAUACCAAACCAGUACCAAAGAUAGAUCUGCAUCCUGUCAUCAAGGUGCUAUUUUCCGAGUGCAGCAUGCAACAGCACUGAGUCUCAACUAAGGUGUAUUCAUUUGAGAGGCAACUUCCAUCCUUGAAGAACAAGUGAACAACCAAUUGGAUAUUGCAGGUUCAAUUGAUGACAAAUAUGCGAAAUUUCCACAUUAAUUUGGAUGUAGAAAGCUACUUUACAUACUGUACAUGCCCAUAUCACUACUUUGAAUAAUAAUAUUUGUCUGACAUUAGAAUAUAAUUUUUUUGUGUAAACAUUUACAUCAGCUAUGAUGUUUAUUUGUUAUGAGUGAAAGGUACUUUUAAUACACAUGCAAAUGGUGUUUACUUGCUAGAUCCCUAUGAAGUGAAAGAUCAGAACCUCUUAUUGCGACAAUCAUUUUUGACUGUCGCAGUUUUUUUUAUUACCCCACAAAGUAUUUGCGACGGAUAAAAAGUGUCGCAUCUUUGUCGCAAAAGGUUUUUACGACGCUUGUUUACGCGUCGUAUUUAAUGAAACUAUUUAUGACAUAAAUUAUUGCGACACUUGAAGAAACGUCGCAAAACCGUCGCGAAAGGUAUUUGCGACGCCUCUUAAAGCGUCGUAAAAAACAAAAAAGUAUUUGCUACACGAUUUAUGACGACGCUUCAAUAAGCGUCGCAAAACCGUCGCAAAAAGUUAUUUGCGACGUUUUUUG